rnacentral:tRNA from 2 species
GGGAGUAGAUAGGUUCUGGUGUGCCUUCCGGACUUCAAAUCCGGCAGCGGGCUAGACUCAGUCCGCGGUGGGUUCGAUUCCCACAUACUCCCGCCA